UUGGGUGACGCGGAGGGACAUUAUAGAGUUUUCUAAACUCCCAACCCAUGUGAACUUACCUUUUGUUGCCUCGGCAGAAGUUAUAGGUCUUCUUAUAGCUGCUGCCGGUGGACCAUUAAACUCUUGUUAUUUUAUGUAAUCUGAGCGUCUUAUUUUAAUAAGUCAAAACUUUCAACAACGGAUCUCUUGGUUCUGGCAUCGAUGAAGAACGCAGCGAAAUGCGAUAAGUAAUGUGAAUUGCAGAAUUCAGUGAAUCAUCGAAUCUUUGAACGCACAUUGCGCCCAUUAGUAUUCUAGUGGGCAUGCCUGUUCGAGCGUCAUUUCAACCCUUAAGCCUAGCUUAGUGUUGGGAAUCUACUUCUCUUAGGAGUUGUAGUUCCUGAAAUACAACGGCGGAUUUGUAGUAUCCUCUGAGCGUAGUAAUUUUUUUCUCGCUUUUGUUAGGUGCUAUAACUCCCAGCCGCUAAACCCCCAAUUUUUUGUGGUUGACCUCGGAUCAGGUAGGAAUACCCGCUGAACUUAAGCAUAUAAA
rnacentral:rRNA from 1 species